UACGGAGGGUGCAAGCGUUAUCCGGAUUCACUGGGUUUAAAGGGUGCGUAGGUGGCGGGGUAAGUCAGGUGUGAAAUCUCGGGGCUCAACCCCGAAACUGCAUUUGAUACUGCCUUGCUCGAGUACUGGAGAGGAGAUUGGAAUUUACGGUGUAGCAGUGAAAUGCGUAGAUAUCGUAAGGAAGACCAGUGGCGAAGGCGGCUUCCUGGACCGACACUGACGCUGAGGCGCGAAAGCUAGGGGAGCAAACGGG
rnacentral:rRNA from 1 species